rnacentral:rRNA from 1 species
CGCUGGCGGUAUGCUUAACACAUGCAAGUCGAACGGUCUUUUAGGAGACAGUGGCGGACGGGUGAGUAACGCGUAAGAAUCUACCUUCAGGUUGGGGACAACCACUGGAAACGGUGGCUAAUACCGAAUGUGCCGAGAGGUGAAAGGCUUGCUGCCUGAAGAAGAGCUUGCGUCUGAUUAGCUAGUUGGUAGUGUAAGAGACUACCAAGGCGACGAUCAGUAGCUGGUCUGAGAGGAUGAUCAGCCACACUGGGACUGAGACACGGCCCAGACUCCUACGGGAGGCAGCAGUGGGGAAUUUUCCGCAAUGGGCGAAAGCCUGACGGAGCAAUACCGCGUGAGGGAGGAAGGCUCUUGGGUUGUAAACCUCUUUUCUCAGGGAAGAACAGAAUGACGGUACCUGAGGAACAAGCAUCGGCUAACUCCGUGCCAGCAGCCGCGGUAAUACGGAGGAUGCAAGCGUUAUCCGGAAUGAUUGGGCGUAAAGGGUCCGCAGGUGGCAUUGUAAGUCUGCUGUUAAAGAGUUUGGCUCAACCAAAUAAGAGCAGUGGAAACUACAAAGCUAGAGUGUGGUCGGGGCAGAGGGAAUUCCUGGUGUAGCGGUGAAAUGCGUAGAUAUCAGGAAGAACACCAGUGGCGAAGGCGCUCUGCUAGGCCGAGACUGACACUGAGGGACGAAAGCUAGGGGAGCGAAUGGGAUUAGAUACCCCAGUAGUCCUAGCCGUAAACGAUGGAUACUAGGCGUAGCUCGUAUCGACCCGAGCUGUGCCGGAGCUAACGCGUUAAGUAUCCCGCCUGG